GCCGGGCAUGGUGGCGUGCGCCUGUAGUCUCAGCUACUUGGAGGCUGAGGCAGGAGAAUCGCUUGAACCCGGGAGACGGAGGUUGCAGUGAGCCAAGAUUGUGCCACUGCCCUCCAGCCUGGGCAACAAAGUGAGACUCUGUCUCAA
rnacentral:sRNA from 1 species